rnacentral:lncRNA from 13 species
UGAGUAUUUAAGUGGUAUGUAUGGGUGGUGUUUUUUUUCACCCCUUAAAAAUGUGUCUUCUCUUUUUGGAUUUUGGAAACUUUUCCUAGUGUUUUGCCCUCUCUGAGUUACUGGGAAGUACCUUCCAGAGCUGCUCUCAUUUUCUAAAGAAAUGGAAGCCUUUGUAUAUUUCCAAGAAACACCAGAAAAUAACUAAAAACAUGUAAUUUGGAAUGAUUCAGACCCAGACCCAAGCCUGGAGGCUCAUUUCCUAGGAUUGACUUGGGCCAACUGUUCAGCUGUGAAAUAGUAUGACCAUGACCAACGAAGGUGCCAGUCAUCCAGACCUUGGCCAUACAUCCAGCCGUGGAGCAGGGAUGGAGUCGGCUCCCAAACGAUACCACCCAGGAUCAGCCCACCUUUGGUCCCAGCGCUGGCUAUGUUGACAGAGAAGUACAUUUGGUUCUACUUGAAGGAACUGUCCCUAGUCUAAAUGGCCCCAGUAUUUAAAGGUGAGACUCAGACUUUAGACCUUUUCUCUCUGUUUCUACUCAAUCUUGUGGCAUCGAUAACUUCAAAAUUUGUCCCUGUACCCAGGCCACUCUUCUGACCUCAGACCUGCCCAUCCAUUUGCUUCCUGGACAUGUCCACUUAAUUGUCUGGGGCUCAGGAAAGUCUUUGGCUGUUUGGAGAGACCUGCUUAGCUUCCUUUCUGCCAAGGCUGUC